rnacentral:sRNA from 1 species
GCCGGGCAUGGUGGCACAUGCCUGUAAUCCCAGUGGUUCUGGAGGCUGAGGCAGGAGUGUUGCAAGUUCAAAGCCAGCCUUAGCUACUUAGGGAGACCCCAAGUAACUGAGCAAGCCCCUGUCUCAA